GAUAAACGCUGGCGGCGCACAUAAGACAUGCAAGUCGAACGGACUUAACCAUUAGUCUACUAUUGGAGCGGUUAGUGGCGGACUGGUGAGUAACGCGUAAGCAAUCUGCCUAUCAGAGGGGAAUAACAGUGAGAAAUCACUGCUAAUACCGCAUAACGUACGGUCCUCACAUGGGGACUGUACCAAAGAUUUUAUCGCUGGAAGAUGAGCCCGCGGCCGAUUAGGUAGUUGGUGAGAUAACAGCCCACCAAGCCGACGAUCGGUAGCCGGACUGAGAGGUUGAUCGGCCACAUUGGGACUGAGACACGGCCCAG
rnacentral:rRNA from 1 species